UCGUACGCUUCUUUUUCCACCGGAGCUUGCUCCACCGGAAAAAGAAGAGUGGCGAACGGGUGAGUAACACGUGGGUAACCUGCCCAUCAGAAGGGGAUAACACUUGGAAACAGGUGCUAAUACCGUAUAACAAUCGAAACCGCAUGGUUUUGAUUUGAAAGGCGCUUUCGGGUGUCGCUGAUGGAUGGACCCGCGGUGCAUUAGCUAGUUGGUGAGGUAACGGCUCACCAAGGCCACGAUGCAUAGCCGACCUGAGAGGGUGAUCGGCCACAUUGGGACUGAGACACGGCCCAAACUCCUACGGGAGGCAGCAGUAGGGAAUCUUCGGCAAUGGACGAAAGUCUGACCGAGCAACGCCGCGUGAGUGAAGAAGGUUUUCGGAUCGUAAAACUCUGUUGUUAGAGAAGAACAAGGAUGAGAGUAACUGUUCAUCCCUUGACGGUAUCUAACCAGAAAGCCACGGCUAACUACGUGC
rnacentral:rRNA from 1 species